rnacentral:rRNA from 1 species
UGGGGAAUUUUCCGCAAUGGGCGAAAGCCUGACGGAGCAAUACCGCGUGAGGGAAGAAUGCCUGUGGGUUGUAAACCUCCUUUUUUAGGGAAGAAAAUUUGACGGUACCUAAAGAAUAAGCAUCGGCUAACUCCGUGCCAGCAGCCGCGGUAAUACGGGGGAUGCAAGCGUUAUCCGGAAUCACUGGGCGUAAAGAGUCUGUAGGUGGCUUGAUAAGUCUGCUGUUAAAUAUCAAAGCUUAACUUUGAAGCAGCGGUAGAAACUAUUAUGCUAGAGUAUGGUAGGGGUAGAGGGAAUUCCCAGUGUAGCGGUGAAAUGCGUAGAUAUUGGGAAGAACACCAGUGGCGAAGGCGCUCUACUGGGCCAUUACUGACACUCAGAGACGAAAGCUAAGGUAGCGAAUGGGAUUAGAUACCCGUGUAGUCC